rnacentral:rRNA from 1 species
GCGUCUAGAUGGUAGCAGGGAUGCGACGGUGAACACGAUUGCUUAAGUGCGAUAGGUGUGCGUCAGUGUAGGAGUAGCGUAGGACGAUGAUAAGGUACGAAGACAUAUUUCGGAGACCCACGACUGAUCGCUCAUCGUUCACUUCGUAGUUCAUGGGGACCGUCUUGUUUUGGGGAGCGAUUUUUGUUCGCGCUUAUGUCGUGCCCCCCUCCCUCUCGCUCUCUCUCUCUCUCCGGUUGUUGGUAGACACGCCCGUCUAGCUGAGCAACAGAGCAACGUUACCUCCGGCUGUACCUGUACUCGAAGCUAAAGAGAACCCUCUGCGGAUUGAAGAAGCUCCGGGUCCACGACCUCGAGCCGCAGCAGCUGUCAUACAUGAACGGCCGACUCCUGAGCGACAGGCCAGACAUGAGCACGAUGCUGCUGAGCUCGAGCGGCCUGCCGCGGUCGAGCACCAGCAGCCGGUACUGCUCCCGUUGGGCGCGCUCGUUCUUGUAUUAGUACCUCUCCCUGGCAGCGUCCUCCGAGUUGCUCUUCGAAAUGUUGGAGGCGCCGCAGCAAGGUUUGUAGUGGUUCUACCUGUUCCGCAGGUAGUAGGUCCUGCGAUAGCGCAUGUAGCUCCGCGACGUCCUCGUCCUCGCCGUCGAAGAUCGGCUCUAUAGGCUGGAGCUUGGUCUGUUGACGUGGCGGCGCCAGUUCCGCCUUCUGCAGCGGAGGCAGCCCUCGGUCCGUCUCCUUCUGCCGCACCCGAACGGUGCCGUCUUCUUCUACUCCUCCUGAUCGAGGCGGAGGAGGUAGUUGCUGCGGUAGUGAAGGGGACGGUGCAUAGGCCAGCUUUAGGAGCUCGACCUCCACUGCUUACAUCGCCUCUUCGACAGCCACCACUCGGACUCCGUGCCGUUCCGCGCCCUGCGGUACCGGUUCCACACGCCCCGCGACGUCAGCGAGACAGAGUUCCAGUAGUGCCGUUCGCAGUGGUGGCACCGGCCGCCGUACCAGGUGUGGUACAAGCAGCUCCAUUGGUAGGUAGCUAAGCGACAGAAAGGGUGGGUUAGUUAACGAGGAGAGCGAGAUAGGACUAAAGAGGUUGCUUUUCCUAAACGAAGGCAGGGAAAACGAGCCAACGAGGGCUUAAAGAAACUACUGUAGUGGAAACUACUGCAGUGUUUUUACUGUAGUAUACACUGUACCGAGCAAGUAUUUUUCGUAUGCGACCCAAAGAAAGGAGGUAGUUGAGCCAUCUAAUAAUGCUUGAAGUACUACAUCACGUAGACACGAAAAGCUCUAAAUUCAAGCUAUUAUUUAAUUUAGUUGUACCUUUUGAUGCCGCCUCGUUUUAAAUUUAGUGACUUUUGAAGAAAGCUUAUUCUUAAGUUACUAUAUUAAAAACGAGGGCGGCAUCAGCGGGUGUAACUAAUUUAAAUAUUAGUUUGAAUUUAGAAUUUUGUGUCUGUGUGAUUUAAUACUUUACUUUCUUCAUGAGGGGCAUUCCUUUCAUUUUCCCCGCUGCAGGAUAGUACAUCAGGAUGGAGUAUUUUAUACUGGUUACUUUUAGGAGGCGUUAUUAGGAGACUUCGACGUGGUGGUGAACUAGGAGGCUGUAUCUCUUUUUGUGAUGAGGAGCUUGGAACCAUACAUAGAGACAGGAACGCAAAAGUUACGCACCGCCGAGCUCAACUGUGUGACAGAGUUUUUUGUACUCAGAGUUUGACGUUCCGUACACGUAUGAUGAGGAGCUUGGAACCAUACAUAACGAGUAGCAGCGCUUACAUUCGGACCAACGGUGCCACUAAGACAGCGAUAAUAAGCGGCGGCAGCUUGCUGCUUCUGGGAGACAUUGUUAAUAAGGGCAUACGUGGUAGAGGUAGUAUCAGUUUGAAAGUGUAGAUACGUAAGGAAGCUCGUACCAAUUAUUAUGUCGGUUGCUAGCCAAUAUUUCUCAAUAGUACAGUAGAUCUCAGUUUGAGUAUCUACCGUACAUGUUAUGAUGAUCAUUCGAACUUUUACACAUGACAAAAUAAUUAUCAACCGGGUGUAAUGUGGAGUGUUUCACAGAACCCAGAGCACAACGUCGACCGAUGAUUGGUUCUCGGACAAAGAGAAGAGAGAGGAGGUUGAAUCAUGCAUUCUAUAAUAUAAUAUAAUAUAAGGAAUGUCGUACGAAUACAGUGGAAUAAAUGAACGAGAAGACGGUCGCGACAAUAGUUUGGUUGUUACCAGUCGAGGUUUUGGUGACGCGCGGGCCACACAGAAGAAACAUACAAACACGGUGGAACUACUAGUUAACAAAAAGACUAUUUCCCACUUUAAAUAAAAGAAUUUUACCUCGUAGUCCUACUAUGUUUGUGUUUCUUGUGUGUAGGCUAGAAACGUACUAAUCCUACAUGUGUUGGUUGCGGGUACGUGCGUGUGUAUUUAUGUAGUCGUUUAUCAUUUCAGUAUAUUCUGGUUGUAAUACGCAUCCGCUCCUUUUUUAUUUUUGAGUUUCGCUAUGCUAAGUGAUAGCUAUUUGAUGUAGUUACUGGUAUCGGCGUUGUUGGUAAAGUACUGUGGUGUGCUUACUGUUCCAAGAAGUUGUUGUCACGGAAGUCUUUCCCUAGCCGCGAGUAUGCGGCGGCAGUGGUCUGGGUUGGUGGGUUCAGAUCUUAUAUGUAAAAGUGGGAUUUCUUGGUCAUAUUAGUAAAAGCUCGUUGCGGAAAUCGUUCCAUUCCUGUGUUUUUAUAGCCUCAUAUUGGUUCUGCCCAGUCCGGAUCCAAACGUGGAGUCUUGAGUUCGGUUGCAGUGCAUACACAACAUCGGUAGUGAAAAAGCACUAGGGCCGUCGACGUACGCUACACCUGGUAACGGCGAUGCGGUUCCAUAGCGGGUAUCAAACGUAGAAGGGCGGUUUCGGUUGGUGGCUCAGACCUCUCUCCUUGGGAGUGUUUCUGGAAAGCCACCCGUGGUGUAAGGCAGUACUCAGGUGGCAACGUGCGGCCACACCAAUGGUAUUCCUGGUUGAUGUUACCGCUUCGUGUUGUGGCAGCUGAUGGUGGAGUGACCUCUCUCGGGAAGUGUCCGAACAGUAGGAUCCCCGGCUAUACCGACCUCGGCAUCGUACUUUCCGUGUAGUUAUAGCGGGCGCACCUCGCAUCGGCGGUGAUCUAGUCCUCGCCUAUCGGCGAUCUAGCUGCAACGGAAGGCUAGGUCCAGCUGUUCUUGGUUCCGGCGUAACGGUUUAUCCCUUCGGCUGUGCACGUGACCCUGACGACAGUGGCGGUAUUUUGCUCCGAAGAUAUGUCCUCGACGGGCGGGUCGUGGUGGACCUUCGACAACGUAGGUGUGUUGUUUUCGGUAUCCCUGCUGCGCGGGGCAGCGGUUGAAGGAGCUCAGCAGACCGCGAAGCGUACACUCGGGAGAUCACCGCCGCUACACAACCCUUCUCUUUCCUCGUGGGAUCACCACCGACGCUACUCACAAAGGGGGUACAGCGUCCUCCGCUGUGCCCCCUACGCCCACAAGCGAAGUCAAGAUCCGCAGAAACAGCCUAGUUAUCGAAAACCACUCAUUCUCAUCUUGAUAUAGGGCGUUUUUUUCUCAUAUUAGGGUCACAUGCUCGCGUGAUCCAUCAUUGCGGCGUAUAACCCGAACGUCACACUGUAAGGAGGAUAGAGAGUACGUACGUACGUAUGUUUUCGUACUAUAGUUAUUUGGUAAAGGGAUUUAACUUAAUUUUUUUAGAAAUGGAGAAUUUAGUAACUGGGCUAAUUACUAAACGAAAGUGAUCGUAAGACCACUGCUUUAGAAGCUUUGAUCUAGGGUAUGGUUGUACAAAGCUGUUAAAAAAACGGCCAUGUACGGUAUAAUCACAGUGAAUCAAUAGAAAUAAUCGAUGGAACAACAGUUUAACUUUAAUUGAAUCAAAAAUCUAAAGACCUUCAGCUAUAUGUGACGAUUUUCGAACGAAGUACUACGAAUACAAUCAACCACGGAGAAGGAUGAAUAACAAUUAGCAACUUAUGAGUAAGAAAUCGAUACGUAUUGUAACGUCACAGGUUUUUGCAUACUUUCAUAACGAGCCAUUGAUAUAUGUUAGUAGUACCUUUAACAAGUGCCAAUUUCUACCGUUGAUCCCACUGUAUUAGAGUGUUGACUACCGUUACUUUUUUUUAGUAACUUCUUACAGUUGUAGUCUAGAACAAAGCUUCGGAACACCUCUGUUUGGGUCGCCACAUCUUCCUAGCGAUUAGCCUAAUCGCUAAAGACUCUAUUUAGUAAUAUUUUCAAGUUACGUUAAUUACACUACUGUAGUUGAAAUCUACUUUCUAAGGACAUACGUACGUACACGGAAAAGAUCUUCACUUUUUACGGCAACUUUCCACACCAUCGUAGUUUUCUGUGUAUACGUGUGUAACGAUGUAUAAAAAAAGGAAUUAAAAUAACUAUUUUGAAUCAAGAUAAAAAGUCUGUCUUCCCUACCUACCACGAGUCUGUUAGUUCCUCUACUAUGUCCAACGUGAGGUGGUAGAGUUUACUCUUCUUCGGGCAGUUUAAGGUACUCAAUGACUACUACAAUUUCACAACGUUUGCUACGUGAUGACUGAAGAUGGAUAUCACAUAGUACAAGUGAUUUAGUACUGUUCUCUCCGGAUACUCAGGUGGAAUCAUACAGUAGUAGAUUAUUGUGGUGUUGUUAACAUCAAUAAUUAGUGAUCGUUUUCUCGGGCACGCAACGUUGCCCUCUUUUUUGUGUUGUGUGUGAGAAUUGGCUUGUUGGUAGUGAGUUCUGGUAUUAUCCAGGUAGAGGAAAUAAAAUCGCUGCGUAGUAUAAACACAACGGCGAAUAGGAAGAAAAGUGGGAGCGGCCGCUACCGGAAUCACAAGUGUGUUUGGUUUUGCACAAACUUACACCAAUUAGGAUUCUGCAGAGAGAGAGGAGGGAGAGGGG